GCCACCGUAGCUCAAUCGGCAGAGCACCGCUUUCGUAAAGCGGGGGUUAAGAGUUCGACUCUCUUCGGUGGCU
rnacentral:tRNA from 1 species